rnacentral:misc_RNA from 2 species
AACGCACCUUGCGCCCUUUGGCUAUUCCGAAGGGCAUGCCUGUUUGAGUAUCAUGAACAUCUCAACUCUCAUGGCUUGCCGUGAUGAGCUUGGACUUUGGGGGUCUUGCUGGCCUGUGGUCAGCUCCUCUCAAAUGAAUUAGCCUGCCGGUGUUUGGUGGGAUCACAGGUGUGAUAACUAUCUACGCUUGUGGUUUUCCACCAGGUAACCCUCAGCAAUGGAGGUUCACUGGAGCUUAUAAAUGUCUCUCCCCAGCGAGGACAGAUUUCGACCGUUUGAUCUCAAAUCAGGUAGGACUACCCGCUGAACUUAA